UACGGAGGGAGCUAGCGUUGUUCGGAAUUACUGGGCGUAAAGCGCGCGUAGGCGGCUUUGUAAGUUAGAGGUGAAAGCCCGGGCUCAACCCCGGAACUGCCUUUAAGACUGCAUCGCUGGAAUCCGGGAGAGGUGAGUGGAAUUCCGGAGUGUAGAGGUGAAAUUCGUAGAUAUUCGGAAGAACACCAGUGGCGAAGGCGGCAUCACUGGACCGGUA
rnacentral:rRNA from 1 species